rnacentral:lncRNA from 1 species
CAUAAGUCAAGAAAAAUGAAUACAGACCAGCACAGGACAUGCAUGCCAUAAAUCAGGUUAUUGAGACUAUACAUUUGAUGGUGCCAAAUCCACAAACACUGAUGGGAUUCCACCAAGUGCUGCCUGGUUUCUUGGCUUAGAUUUAAAAGCUGCUUUUUUCUGCCUCCACUUGGAAUCAGUCAACCCAUUUUUUCAUUUCAGUGGGAGGACCCAGUUACUGGCAUAAAAGAGCAUCUCACUUAGACUUGGCUUCCCCAGGGGUUUAUGAACUCUCCUAUGUUCUUUGAGGAUCGGAUAAGGCUACUGAUCUCAAGGCCUUUCCUACACUAAUAAUUGACUGUUUUAUUACAGUAUGUAUAUGAUCUUCUUUUCCAGUUCCCUCUCUUGAGGACUGUCUCCAAGGGACCAGAGAUCUUCUUAACCUGUUCUAGAAUGCCAGGUAUAAGGUGCCUGAGAAGAAAGCCCAAAUUUACCAACAAAUGGUCAGUUGCAGGAAUCAUGCCUUGGCUCCACCACAGUUGGCUGAAACAGGCUACCCAAGACUGCUAGACAAGCCAGCAGGAUCCAGAACACCUGAACUAGCUGAUCCUGUGACAAGAUCACCACCAGAGAUGACAGCCCUGUUCUAGUCACCCUGGAAGCUGACUAGUCUAUGCACAGCCAAAGCUUGUAGAUCAAUACAGAAUCACAAUGACAACAAAUUUCUUAUCCUCUUUGUUGUAAUUCUCCCUUGCCUCUUAUCCCUACUUGUGAAAAACAUUCAAUUGGCCAUAGAGUUUCUGACAGACAGGCAUACCACCAUUUGACUGAUGGCCUUAACUAAGUACCCACCUCUGCUCAGUAGGCUGUAUUGUCCAUCCACAUUGUGACAAAAAAUAAAUAAUAAUAAUGAUG